UCCCGCAUAGCUGAGUCAGUAAAGAAUCUGCCUGCAAUGCAGGACACCCAGGUUUGAUUCCUGGGUUGGGGUG
rfam:Ovis aries breed Texel chromosome 18, whole genome shotgun sequence.